ensembl:lncRNA
UGGACACUCUGGAUGAUACAAAGGGCUGUGGCCUUUGAGAUGAUUAUCUGGUUGGGGAAAUGAGACACUCCAACUAAUAACUGCAGUACAAGGUGGAAUGUGAAGCCAGUGGAAUUUAAAGUCAGGAUAUGUGGAAAGUUAAGAUGUUCCAAAGAAGGAUGGAUGAAGAAUGAAAGGCACAAAGAAAGCUUUUGUGAAUAUGUGAGUUUGUUGUCUGUGCAAAAGAAGGGCAAAGGAGUGAAAUUGUCAGGAGAAUGUGUGGUGCGAUAGGAAAGGGAUGAAGACUGAAUUUUUUUUUGAGACGGAGUCUUGCUCUGUCGCCCAGGCUGGAGUGGAGUGGCCGGAUCUCCGCUCACUGCAAGCUCCGCCUCCCUGGUUCACGCCAUUCUCCUGCCUCAGCCUCCCGAGUAGCUGGGACUACAGGCGCCCGGCACCACGCCUGGCUAAUUUUUUGUAUUUUUAGUAGAGACGAGGUUUCACCAUGUUAGCCAGGAUGAUCUCUAUCUCCUGACCUCGGGCUCCCAAAGUGCUGGGAUUACAGGCGUGAGCCACCGCGCCCGGCCGAAGACUGAAUUUUUGAGCAAAUGAAAGACACCAACAAAAUCCGACACAUAAAGAUGCACACUUGAAACAGAUUAAUCAGGGUUAACCAUCCUUAAUCCAAAAAUCCAAAAUUCCAAAUGCUCCAAAAUCUGCAACUUUUUUGAGUGCCAACAAUGACGCCCUGCCCCAAGUGGAAAAUUCCAUGGUUAUAUCUACCAAGGAAGGAUGGAAAGAAAGAGAAACUUCAAUGCUACGUCGCAUACCCGGGACCAAUCUCUGUCGACAGCACCACUAUUCGUCCAGUUGCUGAAGGCAAGAAUGGAAGAGCUAUCCCUGCCUCCUCCCAUGUCCUCACUUUCUACACCCAUUCCAUCGGUGAGUCUGCUGAUUUUAUCUUCAAAAUGUAUCUCUGACCUGCCAUCUUCUACCUGUUUCCACUGUCUGUUUUGUUCCUUGCCUAUAGGAUGGUAACAGCCUUCUCACUUUCUCCUACUCUCUCCUCUGGACUUCCCCGACACAGCUGCAGAGGUGAUCAUGUCAUACAAAGAGAGACUGAUACUGUUAUAACAAAAUUUCUUUCAUUUGUAUCUUGUUAUGUGAACAAGGUUUCUUGGCACUUGAAGCUACAAAAAUGAAAAGUUAAUGCAUUGCUAAUAGUAAAAGUUACUCUUUAUGUUUAAUAAUAAUACUCAUUUGUAAUGUAAUUGUUUGGAUCAAUUGCUUACUAAUAAAGAAGGUAAUGAGGCCCCCCCAUUAAUGAUCAUGCCUACAGCCUACCUUAAAAUGUUGAGACAUUUUAAGUGGUUCCCCUUUUACUUUGAUUUCUAGGGAAAGUUUUAAUUCCUUGCUUUGGUCUACAAACCCUGAAUGCUAUGACAUUUAUUUACCUCCCAGCAUCUCUUUGCAGCUCUUUCUGUCUUACUCCCUCUGCUCCAGUGCCCCUUUCCUACAGUUUCUUGAACAUCCCCAACUUUUUUCCACCUAAGGUCAGUUACACAGUCAUGCGCCUUCCUCUUCCUUCUAUUUCUUUUGGGCUUAACUUCUUUCCUUCCCCUAGUUUGCAAUGUAAAUGUGCCCCAUACAGAGAGAUUUUCACUGAACAUUUGAAGUACAGUUGACCCUUGAACAGCAUGGGGGUUAGUGGUGCUGACACCUGCACAGUCGAAAAUCUCUGUAUAACUUUUGAACCCCCAAUAACUUAAUUACCAACAGUCUACUGUUGACUGGAAGCCAUACAGAUAAAAUAAGCAGUUGAUUAACAUGUAUUUUGCAUGUUGUAUGUAUUACAUACUGUAUUCUUACACUAAAAAAAAUGUGACAAAGAAAAAUCAUAAGGUAAGAAAAAAAUACAUUGACAGUACUGUACUGUAUUUAUCAAUGCCAUAAGUUUAAGCCAUCUGUUUACAAGAGGAAUGGCUAUCUGAAAUGGUGGGUUAUCGCAGCUGCAGACCUCAAUCUACAGUACAUAUCAAGCGAUUCGACUUUUUCUUGUAAUAUCAUGACUUUUCUCUGCUUAUUGAGAGCACUUCCAGCAUCACUAGUGGUACUUCAUGUUGGUUUUCUUGUUAUCAAGAUUUACAGUAUUGAAUCAAACAUGAUGAAAGAUAUGUGAGAACUGUGAGAUCACUUUUCACUGAGAUCUGCAAUUUACUGAAGAGAGGAACUGCUUACGUGGAGAUGAUUAGCGUCACAUGGCAUUUUAAAUAGCAACAGGAGGUGGCUAAGAAAUGAUUAUAGUCAUCGGUAUGUACUACAGUUAAUUUUAUGCAGUUAUGAUUUAAUAUUGCAUCUUUACAUUUGUUUACAUGUCUCUUGACUGUGAAUGGCACCAGGUAAGGCCUAUAAGUGUUUGUGUGUGUAAAUUUUGAUAAAUUUUAACUUCUUAUGGUAGAUUUAUGUAAUUUUAUGGUGGCAAAUGAAAAAAUAGGCUAGCAUCUCCAUACAUUUUAUGCAUUUAUGACAUACAUAACUUUUCUUAUUUUUGAUAUUUCUAGGCUAUGUGGUUCAUUUGAAAGAAUUUUUUCAAACGUGAAUCUUCAAAACAUUUUCCAAUACAUCUAUUGAAAAAAAUCUGUGUACAAGUGGACCCCUGCAGUUCAAAUCCGUGGUGUUCAAGGAUCACCUGUAUGUACCCAUCUCUGCACUUACUUUUUUCUUUUAUUUCUGUCUCUUGUUUUUUCCUUUCUUAGAACUUUUUUGACUUGCAAAUAUUUUACUCAUUUGUUGGUUUCUUGUUCAUUAUCUAUCUCCUCUACUAUAAGGUAGGCUCCAUGAGGGCAGGGCUGUGUCUGUCUUAUUCAUCAAUGCAUCCCUGGACUGCAGCACAGAACCAGGCACAGGGUAGGCUCUCAACAAACAAUCUGAUGAUUUUGUUGUUUCUGUGGUUUUCUUGCACAGCCAUGCUUGGAUCCCAGUGCUGAAGACCUUUAAACUUGCAGGCUUAACCCACUCAGAGGAUGAGGCAUCUUAGUACCUAAGUAAGUAUGUCCCUGCCAGAUGUGGUCUUGCCUUAAGCCUAAGGUUCAGUUACUCUGGGAUGAGUUGCUAAGGAGCUUGCAACGUAUUGAACUGUAACUUUCAUCCCAAGACCCUGCCCCUUUCUCUUGCAUUUCCCCCUUCUGUGAGCCUCUGUUCCAUAAGAUGGGGCCUCUGCCCCUAGUUUAGAUUUGAACUCCAGUUGGAGGCUAGGACUUGUAGUUUUGUGACUAUAGCCAUGCCAGCCCCUCUUUCUGAAGCCUGAUUUGUUCCUCAUUUCAUCCCUAGCUAUUGGCUGAGAUGUUGCCUUUAAUCAGACAGAUUGUCCUCCUCUACUUACCCUUCCACCCUUCCCUACCUGUUCUACCCACCUGACUGAAAAUAUUGCCACCUUCUAAGCUUUUUGCCAUGCUCCAACUCUAGGUGUGAGUGACAGCCGACAUUGUAGUCAAGUUCACCACUAUCUCUUUGGAUGUUGGGAUUUGGAUGCCAGUUUCACUGGGCUGGCCUAUAGGAAGAGGACUUUGGAGCUAAACAGGCCUGAAUUUGAAUUCUGGUUCUACCACUUACUAGCUGUGUGACCUUGGGCAAGUUAUGGACUUCCUUGAGUCUUAGUUUUCUCAUCUGUAAUGUGGUGGCAAAUAAUACCUAUCUUGAAAAGUGAGUCUUGGUGAUUGCCUUUGACUUGUACCUAAAGCAGAGCCUAGCACAGAGCUGUCACUCAAGCCUCCCACCUGCCAGCUCCAGCCCUCUAUUCUUAGUUUCUUUCCCCCAUCCCAUCCGCCAGUGGUGCAGGUUCUGGCCUGUGUCCGUAGAGUCCUCUGGACUAUUUUAGACUGUUCUUUCUCUCUUGAUGUGAGCUGAGCUGACUCCUUUCACUUCUUAAGUUUUUGUUUUCUUUUUGGCCCGUACAUAUCCUUUAAACCAAAACUCUUUUUUAACUGCUUUUGGUUUACACAUCUGAGCCACUUUGAUCUGUUUCUUUCUGGCAUAAGAGCUAUUUGUUCACUUUUGGAAGUAAGUGAGAUGCAUGCCAUUUUUUUUUUUUUUCUCCGAAGAACCCUAUAGUCAUAUGCAGAGAAGAUGCUGACCUGAUUUCUCCAAAGAUGGUAUAGAGGGUGAACAGCAUUCAUUACAUUCACAUGCAGAGGAUGUUCUUACAAUAGAGGACUUUUUGGACCAAUUUUAAAGCUGUAUGUAACAGUGCUUUAUACUACAAAUAGAAUGCAACAGAAUGGCUGUUUGUGAUAAGAAUCUUAUUUGCAAUGACUGUUUAAAUGCCCCAAUUAUUUGUUUUCAAGGUCACAAUUAGAACUACAUGACCAAACAACUUUUCUGGAAGGCAUAAAACUGCUGUUGGAGCCCAGCCCCCUCCAACACUUUGGCAUGCAUAAUUUGAAGAAUGCCUGCGAUCCCAUAUGUUUCUUCAUUCCUCCUAGACAGCGUUGACAUUUGGGGAUUUAUUCUUAGAGUUUGCUUCUUUGAACAUGUUUGGUUCAAUUAGUCUACUGAAGCUGAGGUAGCAUAAGCUGUUUUUUUAAGAAGUGGUAGCAUAUUCAGGACAGGAUGUUUGCGACACAACAGAUGGGCUUGUGAUCAGGCUAGAUUGCCACUUAUCAAAUUUAGAGUAAACUGAAGCGGAUCCACAGCACCUAGCCCAGUUCCUUGAACAGAUUAGGGACUUAGGAAGUGCUAGUUAAGAGAAAGAAGGAAUGCAUAAACAGCUAAUGGUCAGAACCCUAUAGAGGCCUUGGAGAAAGGAGAACAUUUAAAUGAGUAGGGGAUUUUAAAAUCUUAAAAUGUCAGAUAUACUGCUAAAUAAGUACAUUGUUGCUAAUUUUCUUUCUAGAGAUUAAAAGGUUACAGAUCCAUCCUGGCCAACAUGGUGAAACCUGGUCUCUACUAAAAAUACAAAAAACAAAUUAGCCGGGCGUGGCGGUGCAUGCCUGUAGUCCCAGAUACUCAGGAGGCUGAGGCAGGAUAAUUGCUUGAACCCAGGAGGCGGAGGUUGCAGUGAGCAGAGAUCGUACCACUGCACUCCAGCCUGGGCAACAGAGUGAGACUCUGUCUCAAAAAAAAAAAAAAAAAAAAAAAAGAAGGUGAGAGAUCAUAGUGGCUACCACUUAUUGAGGACCUACUAUAAUGAGUGUCUAUUGUUUUUGUUUGUUCUGCAACACUAUUCCGUUUGGAGAACUGUGCCUGUCUCCAUAGCCAGUGAGACUAUCAAAUACUGCAUUGCUCAGCAGCCCAGAUAGAGCACAUGCUGGGCUUGGUCAGUUACAGUAAGACAGCCCCUCCG